rnacentral:sRNA from 1 species
GCGGCCGCCGCGCUUCUGCUCUCGGUGUCCCGGACUUCAGGAGCCACACAGGACAGUUGACCCAACACUUCUGCCACCUGAAGAACGACACCUGCAUUCCUCCAUCUCUGGGACCACCAAGGAACUCAGGGAGCUUGGAAUCUCUCAGAUCAAAAAGAUACUGACUCAUCGGAUAGCCAUGCCAUCCUGAAAACGGCCUUACUUGUGUGUACAUUAUUUGCAACAAGCAACAAGUUUAUAAGCACUUUGGUAAAAUUGCAUGUGAGGGUUAAAAUAUUAAAGUCAGUGCGUCAACUUGAAAUAAAUGAUGAGUUAU